AUUGAACGCUGGCGGCAGGCCUAACACAUGCAAGUCGAACGAGUGGCGGACGGGUGAGUACUGUCUGGGAAACUGCCCGAUGGAGGGGGAUAACUACUGGAAACGGUAGCUAAUACCGCAUACCAUCGGAUGUGCCCAGAUGGGAUUAGCUAGUAGGUGUGGUAACGGCUCACCUAGGCGACGAUCCCUAGCUGGUCUGAGAGGAGGACCAGCCACAAUGGAACGGAGACACGGUCCAGAUUCCUACGGGAGGCAGCAGGAGGGAAUAUUGCACAAUGGGCGAAAGCCUGAUGCAGCCAUGCCGCGUGAAUGAAGAAGGCCUUCGGAUUGUAAAGAACUUUCGGGGAGGAAGCGUUACUCGAAGAGGAAGCAACGGCUAACUCCGUGCCAGCAGCCGCGGUAAUUC
rnacentral:rRNA from 1 species